UACAGGUCAUUGACCUCCUAAGGUGGUGAUAU
rnacentral:piRNA from 1 species